UUGGUGGAGGUUGUUGUGUUAGUGUUUCCAUGUGUAGUGUUAUGAGCCUGGGGAUAGUUUGACAAGGCUUUGGUGGAGGUUGUUGUGUUAGUAUUUCCAUGGGUAGUGUUAUGAGCCUGGUGAUAGUUUGACAAGGCUUUGGUGGAGGUUGUUGUGUUAGUAUUUCCAUGGGUAGUGUUAUGAGCCUGGUGAUAGUUUGACAAGGCUUUGGUGGAGGUUGUUGUGUUAGUAUUUCCAUGGGCAGUGUUAUGAGCCUGGUGAUAGUUUGACAAGGCUUUGGUGGAGGUUGUUGUGUUAGUAUUUCCAUGGGUAGUGUUAUGAGCCUGGUGAUAGUUCGACAAGUCUUCUGUACCAUGAACGUAACAAAACACUCCUGGGAACCCGACUCAUCUCCUUCGCGGCCUUGGGAAAUAGUGGUUUUUAGACCCCAAAGCGUACGAGACUAGGCCGUAGCUUCUUGUCAUCAGCAAAUUUAAAUAUCUCUUCACAUCUUAGCUUCCUGGUCCAAUCUCAUUAGUCAUCUCAGUGUCAUGUCACUAACAAACUUAAUUUCCUCUCUGGUUAUAACUUCAAUCUCUCUCUCUCUCUCUCUCUCUCUCUCUCUC